GCGCGCCGUCGCCCGGCGGCCGCACUACAUUCCGGCGUUUGUCGAACUCGCACUCCAGUUGCGCAAGAGCGGACAACUUGACGAGGCGAUGACCGUCACCGAGAGCGGGCUGACGGUCGAGCCACAAUCGGCCGAUCUGCAACUUGCCUUGGGAUAUGCUCUGGCUGAACGCAACGAGCGUGUCCCGGCGCAGGCAGUGUUUGCCAAAGUCCACGCCGCAGAGCCGACGCAUCACGACGCUUNGCUCUUGCGGCGGCGGUGAUCUGGGACGGCGAUUACGGACGGGCCGCGGACCUCUACCGCCGCGCGCUGGCUAUCAAGCCGCUGGAUGAUACGCGGAUCCGUCUCGGGA
rnacentral:misc_RNA from 1 species